rnacentral:rRNA from 1 species
UGCAACCUACCUCAAUUAGGGGGAUAGCCCGAAGAAAUUCGGAUUAACACCGCAUAAAAACACAGUACAGCAUUGUACAAUGUUCAAAUAUUUAUAGGAUUAAGAUGGGCAUGCGUGUCAUUAGCUAGUUGGCGGGGUAACGGCCCACCAAGGCGACGAUGACUAGGGGAUCUGAGAGGAUGACCC